rnacentral:rRNA from 1 species
UACGUAGGGGGCAAGCGUUGUCCGGAAUCAUUGGGCGUAAAGCGCGUGUAGGCGGCUCGAUAAGUCCGCUCUGAAAGCCCGGGGCUCAACCCCGGGAGGCGGGUGGAUACUGUCGAGCUCGAGUCCGGAAGAGGCAAGUGGAAUUCCCGGUGUAGCGGUGAAAUGCGUAGAGAUCGGGAAGAACAUCGGUGGCGAAAGCGCUCUGCUGGACUGCAACUGACACUCAGGGACGAAAGCUAGGGGAGCGAAUGGG